GAUGAACGCUGGCGGCGUGCCUAAUACAUGCAAGUCGAGCGAACGGACGAGAAGCUUGCUUCUCUGAUGAUAGCGGCGGUCGGGAGAGUAACAUGUGGACAACCUACCUAUGAGACUGGGAUAAAUUCGGGAAACCGGCGCUAACACCGCACGAUAUUUUGUACCGCAUGGUUCAAGAGAGAUAGACGGUCUUGCUGUCACGUAUAGAUGGAUCAGCGCUGCAUUAGCUAGUUGGUAAGGUAGCGGCUUACUAAGGCAACGAUGCAUAGCCGACCUGAGAGGAUGAUCGGCCACACUGGAACUGAGACACGGUACAGAGUCCUACGGGAGGCAGCAGUAGGGAAUCUUCCGCAAUGGGCGAAGGCCUGACGGCGCAACGCCGCGUGAGGGAUGAGGGUCUUCGGAUCGUAAAACUCUGUUAUUGGGGAAGAACAUAUGUGUAAGUAACUGUGCACAUCUUGACGGUACCUAAUCAGAAAGCCACGGCUAACUACGUG
rnacentral:rRNA from 1 species